rnacentral:misc_RNA from 1 species
GAAAUGCGAUAAGUAGUGUGAAUUGCAGAAUUCAGUGAAUCAUCGAAUCUUUGAACGCACAUUGCGCCCUUUGGUAUUCCAAAGGGCAUGCCUGUUCGAGCGUCAUUUGUACCCUCAAGCUUUGCUUGGUGUUGGGCGUCUUGUCUCUAGCUUUGCUGGAGUCUCGCCUUAAAGUAAUUGGCAGCCGGCCUACUGGUUUCGGAGCGCAGCACAAGUCGCACUCUCUAUCAGCAAAGGUCUAGCAUCCAUUAAGCCUUUUUUUCAACUUUUGACCUCGGAUCAGGUAGGGAUACCCGCUGAACUUAAGC